GGCAGGCCUGAGGGGGUGAGCAGGGGUCGCUCUGGCAGGGGGGGCAGGCCAGGGCACCCCUUUGCCACUCAGCGCCCUCCCGUGCAGCAUGACCGGGGCAGGGACACAGUGAGGAUGUGAGUAGUCCUUUCCGGGGCUCUAGUGAGCCCCUUGCUCCUGGCAUGUUUGCAGCCCCUAUCUCGUGCUGAAGGCAGCUGGGGACCAGUGCCAUGCUGGCGGGCGUGCGGACACAAGCAAGAGCGCUGCAGGGAGAGCUCCUGUUCGACCAGCUGCAAAAACACCUGCAGGCUGCAAGCUGGUUCAGGUCUGAAGAAGGGUUCAUGUGCCCACGAGCUCGGCUGGUUUCUCUGGCUGCUUUAGCCCACCUGGAAGUUUCUUCACAGCCUUUUCUUUACCCACUGCUGUGGCUGCAGAGGCAGAUGGGAGCUGGGACUGUCUAGGGGAAGCCAGAGGAGGAACUAUUUCUGCCCUGCACUUGCAAUCCCUCCCAACCCUGUGCUGCCUCCACAUCUUGGGAACUUGCACUUGGCUCUUCCAAAAUCACUGAUGGAUUUACUCGCCUGCAUUCAUUCCCAAGACAUAAGGUUUACUGGUCGUGCUUCCCACCUUCCCGCUUGCCUCUGACCGGGUGCUCCCAGCCCGCCUCCGCGUAUGCUGAUCUCUGCGGCUUCAUCCCCGGCAGCAUGCUCUGCCGUUGCUGAACCUCACCCUACGCGCUGGGAUUCACCCUCUUCUUGUUCAUCUAAUCAUGUGCCAGGCAACUGAUGUGACCCCAGCAAACAGCACGAUUUGGGGAGAAGCAUACAAAAGCGGUGGCUGCACGCUGUUGCAAAAUCUUGGAAGAACUUGGCCCAGGAAUGAAUGAGGGAGAUAAAGGACACGGUGUUUGUAGUUUCACCUGAGAGCCUUGGGAGAUAAGGACUGCUAGGACAAACGGACUUAAUGCCUCUUGACGUAAUUCAAGGGAGACCUACAAAUCCAUGUGAAAACACUAAGCAAGGAAAAUGGAGUGGGGCUGGACAGCUUAGUGCAGGGGUGAGUUACGAGGUUGUGAAAUGGCGUCCUAUCAGUCUUGUGCACACGUGCCUUUCCCAGGUGAACUAGUGAGUAUUUAUUUUUAGAGACAGGAAGUAUGUGGAAAAGCAGCAGAAAAUACGCUUGCUGUGUUACCUAGAGACAGUUGAAGCCUGUCCCAAAAUAAAGAAGCUCUCUUUCAAGUACCUGGGGGCAAAGGGAUUCCCAAAUACCUUUUGUGUGCUAGAACAAUGCUACACUGGCUUUAAAAAAAGGACAUUUAACAACUCUAGCCUUGAGAGCUGGUGUGCUUGACAGCAUGACUCAAAUGGUCAUGAUAAGACCAUCAAGCAGGAUGUGGAUGGUCCAUCAAAGGUCUAGUGAAGUGCAUGCAGGACACUUAAGGUGUUGUGCAAUGAGGGUGGCAAUGUCUGUCCAUAGCAUCUCAGGAGGUGCGGCGUGAACGUGCAGCUUUGAGGCCUGGCAGCGCAUUUAGCCUAUAGGCAAAGUACACAAUCAGCAAAAAAAGCACACCAAAUGUGUGAUGAAGGUCCUAACCCCGAGUGAAGUGCAUGGCGCAAUGCAUGAGGAACCAGUAAAAACUAUAUUUGAGGAAUAUUUGAGGGUUUGAAGACAGGCUACUGGCAACCGGACCCAUUCUGGUCUGUUUUCACUAGUGGACAGCGCUGUGAUUGCUACCUGCUAUGUCACCUGAACAAAGAGACGCAGGACAUAUCUGGUUGUGAAUUGUAGCUGCCAUUGGAGGAGAAUCAAUAAGUCAGAGUCUUGGCUGCUAGUGAAGGCGGAUGUGGAGAAGGCAAUGCUAUUAACGGCAGCAAGCAAAAGGAAUAGGUCAGAGCAGGUCAGCAUCUCCCGAGUGCCGAUGCAACCAAGGAAUGGGGAGCCAGCAGCCAACACCACUUCUAGUAUCACUUAAAUACUCCUUUAGAAUCAUCUAGUAACAAAAUGUCUGUAAAUAAUAAAAAAAAAAAAAGUCAUAGUGGUGGUAUCCAGCAGUCUGAACCUGUCAGUCGCAACCUGAUUAUUUUAGCAGCAUUUUCUUCAGCCUGCUGGAAGGCAGAUAAUGGGGGCAGGCAAUUACAAGGCUGAACCCAAACUUCAUUAGAAAUUACGCAUAUACCCAUUCCUAUGAAACUGUAGCUGUCUGUAAGGCAUUGAGAGAGACACCACGCCUAACAAAAAAUGGUCAGAUGUGCACAGCUGUGUUCAGCUAUACUGUCUUCUAGUAAAUGUCAUUCUUCUUGACUCUUCUUCCCUUAAAGCUCACUAUUUGGUCCCUGAUUGCCUGUAGGCUUUCUGCUACUGCGCUGAGCAGUUUUUAUUGGUAAUCUUUAUGUUUUUAGCAAGCUACCAUUAAAAAAAACUAUUUUGCCUGGCCUAAA